GAUUUCCAGGAAGUGACCUCACAGUGACUCAAGCUACCACUUACUGUUGAUUGUGAUGAAAUGCCAGCUGAGGCACAUGCCUUGGGGGCUAAGUGGUUGCUGCCCUUGACUACUAUGAAGACUGGUGUGGGAAGGGUCGCUUUGGAUGCACUUGAGCAGGGGUCCCCAACCCCUGAGCCAUGGAGCCGUAAGGAGCCACACAGCAGGUGGGACCAUCCAGUUUCAGGAAAACAAGCUUAACACGCCCACUGAUUCUACAUUAUGCUCCUACCUCCCGGCAGCCUCGUCAGGCCCAGAACUCUCUCCAGUCAGCCUCUACAGACCAAGCUCAUGACUCACAAUGGCCUAUUUAGGCCCAUACCCUACCUCACGGCAGUCUCCGCAGAUGAGCCUACUGCCUCACAACAGCCUCCACAGGCACAGCUCCAUCGUUACAAUGGCCUCUUUAGACCCAGCUCCUGCCUCCCAGCCUUCUCUCCAGGCCCUGAACUUUCUCCGUGGGACCAUCCAGUUUCAGGAAAACAAGCUUAACACGCCCACUGAUUCUACAUUAUGCUCCUACCUCCCGGCAGCCUCGCCAGGCCCAGAACUCUCUCCAGUCAGCCUCUACAGACCAAGCUCAUGACUCACAAUGGCCUAUUUAGGCCCAUACCCUACCUCACGGCAGUCUCCGCAGAUGAGCCUACUGCCUCACAACAGCCUCCACAGGCACAGCUCCAUCGUUACAAUGGCCUCUUUAGACCCAGCUCCUGCCUCCCAGCCUUCUCUCCAGGCCCUGAACUUUCUCCGUGGGACCAUCCAGUUUCAGGAAAACAAGCUUAACACGCCCACUGAUUCUACAUUAUGCUCCUACCUCCCGGCAGCCUCGCCAGGCCCAGAACUCUCUCCAGUCAGCCUCUACAGACCAAGCUCAUGACUCACAAUGGCCUAUUUAGGCCCAUACCCUACCUCACGGCAGUCUCCGCAGAUGAGCCUACUGCCUCACAACAGCCUCCACAGGCACAGCUCCAUCGUUACAAUGGCCUCUUUAGACCCAGCUCCUGCCUCCCAGCCUUCUCUCCAGGCCCUGAACUUUCUCCGUGGGACCAUCCAGUUUCAGGAAAACAAGCUUAACACGCCCACUGAUUCUACAUUAUUCUCCUACCUCCCGGCAGCCUCGCCAGGCCCAGAACUCUCUCCAGUCAGCCUCUACAGACCAAGCUCAUGACUCACAAUGGCCUAUUUAGGCCCAUACCCUACCUCACGGCAGUCUCCGCAGAUGAGCCUACUGCCUCACAACAGCCUCCACAGGCACAGCUCCAUCGUUACAAUGGCCUCUUUAGACCCAGCUCCUGCCUCCCAGCCUUCUCUCCAGGCCCUGAACUUUCUCCACAUGGGGUCUCACUUUGUUGGCCAGGCUGGUGUCAAACUAAUGGCCUCAAGUGACCCUUCCACCCCUGCCUCCCAUCCUCGAGGUAUGUGCCACCACAAGGGGCACUUGUUCAAUUUUCUAAAGAAAAAAUUUCUAAAGUAAGGCUGUGGGAUGAUGGCAGGAAGAUAAAAGAAAAACAGAAGAAUAAGUUAAAAUGACUUAUUCACACAUAUUCUUUUGACAGCAAGAAGAACUUUUAGUAUAUACAUUCCUUACAAACAAACAAACGGCAGAUAAACAAUGUUGUAUUGGAACUUCAACACACACUGUACAAUAUUCCCACUUUGCUGACAUAAGUUAUGGAAAUUUCGUGGUUUCCUUGAGUGUCGCUAGCAGUAUUUUGCUUCUCUGAUGAUUUUCAUCAACUUCCUCAUCUGUUAACUUCUCUCCAAAGUAUGUCAUGUCACGACAUACUGCCGCUGCACGAACACGGCCAGUGUCUUCCUAUUAAACAUGUAGAAUGCUUUCCUAAUUUCUCUUUUUACUCUCUGUCUUUGUGUUCUGCAUUUUCCUUACUUUUAUUGUCAGAAACUCCAGAAAGUCAAUCGUACUAAUUUAUCACGAUUUGCUUUAUUAAUUUAUACUAUGCUUAUAUGGAAUUUUGCCCAACAGACCUCAUUACAAUUUCUAACCUGUUUUAUUUU